rnacentral:rRNA from 1 species
UACAGAGGUCUCAAGCGUUGUUCGGAUUCAUUGGGCGUAAAGGGUGCGUAGGCGGUGGGGCAAGUCAGGUGUGAAAUCCCGGAGCUCAACUCUGGAACUGCACUUGAUACUGGCAGACUGGAGUACAGUAGAGGCAAGCGGAAUUCCCAGUGUAGCGGUGAAAUGCGUAGAUAUUGGGAAGAACACCGGUGGCGCAAGCGGCUUGCUGGGCUGUAACUGACGCUGAGGAACGAAAGCUAGGGUAGCGAAUGGG